rnacentral:rRNA from 1 species
AUAUCAAUAAGCGGAGGAAAAGAAACUAACAAGGAUUCCCCUAGUAACGGCGAGUGAAGCGGGAAAAGCUCAAUUUUGAAAUCUCACUGGGUUCCCAGUGCGAAUUGUAGUUUCGAGGAGCGUUUUCGGGGACGGCCUAGGUCCAAGUCUGUUGGAAAACAGCAUCAAAGAGGGUGAGAAUCCCGUUUUGAUCUGGUGUCCGUUCCUGUGUGAUACGUUUCCAAAGAGUCGGAUAGUUUGGGAUUGCUGUCCAAAAUGGGUGGUAAAUACCAUCUAAAGCUAAAUAAUGGCGAGAGACCGAUAGCGCACAAGUA